rnacentral:rRNA from 1 species
AACGAACGCUGGCGGCAUGCCUAACACAUGCAAGUCGAACGAGACCUUCGGGUCUAGUGGCGCACGGGUGCGUAACGCGUGGGAAUCUGCCCUUGGGUUCGGAAUAACAGUGAGAAAUUACUGCUAAUACCGGAUGAUGUCUUCGGACCAAAGAUCUAUUGCCCAAGGAUGAGCCCGCGUAGGAUUAGCUAGUUGGUGGGGUAAUGGCCUACCAAGGCGACGAUCCUUAGCUGGUCUGAGAGGAUGAUCAGCCACACUGGGACUGAGACACGGCCCAGAGUCGUACGGGAGGCAGCAGUGGGGAAUAUUGGAAAAUGGGCGAAAGCCUGAUCCAGCAAUGCCGCGUGAGUGAUGAAGGCCUUAGGGUUGUAAAGCUCUUUUACCCGGGAUGAUAAUGACAGUACCGGGAGAAUAAGCUCCGGCUAACUCCGUGCCAGCAGCCGCCGUAA